rnacentral:rRNA from 1 species
CCUACGGGAGGCAGCAGUGAGGAAUAUUGGUCAAUGGACGAGAGUCUGAACCAGCCAAGUAGCGUGAAGGAUGACUGCCCUAUGGGUUGUAAACUUCUUUUAUAUGGGAAUAAAACGUUCCACGUGUGGGAUUUUGUAUGUACCAUAUGAAUAAGGAUCGGCUAACUCCGUGCCAGCAGCCGCGGUAAUACGGAGGAUCCGAGCGUUAUCCGGAUUUAUUGGGUUUAAAGGGCGCGUAGGUGGAUUGUUAAGUCAGUUGUGAAAGUUUGCGGCUCAACCGUAAAAUUGCAGUUGAAACUGGCAGUCUUGAGGACAGUAGAGGUGGGCGGAAUUCGUGGUGUAGCGGUGAAAUGCUUAGAUAUCACGAAGAACUCCGAUUGCGAAGGCAGUUCACUGGACUGCAACUGACACUGAGGCUCGAAAGUGUGGGUAUCAAACAGGAUUAGAUACCCUUGUAGUC